CUGCUCUGCGGCGCGCGGUAAGGCUCUGCUCAUUCUUCAGGAUUUCACAUUGACUCGGAACCCAUUGGACAACUAGCCUGUGGCCGGCUUCGUACACCUUGCGGAUAUUCACCGAUCAAUAGGGUUGAGCCAGCCAUUACCGAAACAUCAGGUGGAGAGGGACCUUGGUAUGGGAAUACAUCCAAAAACGCCACACUCCACUGAGUUCCACUGCGCUUCCGACGACCGAAACAAACUACGUCCGUAACCCCUGGUGUGCACGCUCCCAUAUUUCACGCAUUACCAAUGCAUUUCAACGAAGAGAAAAGGAAAGAUAAAUUCACAACAGCUCAUAGGUUGAUUUAGUCUGCAGUGUGCUGCAGUGGGAAUUGUAGGAAGCACAACGCGUCGACUUCUCCCGCAACAUGGCCGGCGCAGCGCAGAAAUCAUUUCACGCAGUGGAGCUCUGUUUUACUGUGGAUUCGUUUGACGUCGGUUCCAGUGAAAUUUACUCGAGGGACAGGCCAUACUAGCUUUACUGCCUGUGACCCCAACAUUAGUGUGCACCCGCUGGAAGAUAAUUUCGUGAAACCUAACGUAGGUACA